rnacentral:rRNA from 1 species
UUCGUAGGUGGCGAGCGUUGUCCGGAAUUAUUGGGCGUAAAGCGCGCGCAGGCGGGAAAGUAAGUCUACUCUAAAAGUGCGGGGCUCAACCCCGUGAUGGGGUGGAAACUGCUUUUCUUGAGUGCCGGAGAGGAAAGCGGAAUUCCCAGUGUAGCGGUGAAAUGCGUAGAUAUUGGGAGGAACACCAGUGGCGAAGGCGGCUUUCUGGACGGUGUCUGACGCUGAGGCGCGAAAGCCAGGGGGAGCG